AAAGUUGGAAACUGUCCCAAGAAGUAAAAUCGAUGUAUUGUCAAGACUAGAGGCACGUUUAUUCAGGAAAAUGAGGAUGCCCAGCUACAAUAGGAACCAUGCGGCUGGACAGUGAAAUAUCGCAACAACAACAAGAUUCUUUUCUUUCCGCUCAACCUGCCCUUUGUUUUACAAUCUCUUUAUUUAUUGGCCCUCAGAAAUUGAGAACCUUAGCAUUAUUAGAUUUAAG
rnacentral:lncRNA from 1 species